GUGAAAGAAUUGAAGGACUACAAGCAGAGCAACUCUUUUCCUGCACAUUUCAGCAAGAAUGAGCGAUAUGUUCUCAAACGGCGUGCAGAGAGUUACCAACUGAUAAACGGUGACCUGUAUUAUCAGUGCCGCAGAAAGUGAGAUGAGCAGCGGCAUCAUCUUGCCAAGGGUGUGUUGACCCCACAAGAAGCCAAUGCCAUAUUCAUUGAGUUUCAUGACAGUGACAUUGGAGCUCACUGUGGGGUCGACAAGACCAUGGAUGCAAUUCUGCAACGAUUCUACUGGCCUAGCAUGAAGGCAGACAUCGAGAAAUGGAUUGACCAGAGUGAUGCCUGCCAAAAGAAGAGGACCUCUAUAAAGGAGAAAAUGCUAUACAAACCCAAAGAGGUGACUCAACCAUUUGAAUUGGGAUGGACUUGGUUGGUAAGCUAAAAUGCACCAA
ensembl:lncRNA